AAGGAUUUAAGUUAAAAAGAAACUAACAACCUUCAAAGUUGUAAAUAGGGCUUUCUCUAAGCCUUG
rnacentral:tRNA from 1 species